rnacentral:rRNA from 1 species
AGAGUUUGAUCAUGGCUCAGGACGAACGCUGGCGGCGUGCUUAACACAUGCAAGUCGAACGGAAAGGCCCUGCUUUUGUGGGGUGCUCGAGUGGCGAACGGGUGAGUAACACGUGAGUAACCUGCCCUUGACUUUGGGAUAACUUCAGGAAACUGGGGCUAAUACCGGAUAGGAGCUCCUGCUGCAUGGUGGGGGUUGGAAAGUUUCGGCGGUUGGGGAUGGACUCGCGGCUUAUCAGCUUGUUGGUGGGGUAGUGGCUUACCAAGGCUUUGACGGGUAGCCGGCCUGAGAGGGUGACCGGCCACAUUGGGACUGAGAUACGGCCCAGACUCCUACGGGAGGCAGCA